CCUCCACCCUCCCUCCCGCCAUGGGAGCGCUGCAUGCCGGGAGUGGCCUCUCGGAAGCGGAAAGGGAAAUGACCGGAAGUGAUGUCAGGACCCUGAGACGCGGUGGGUUUCGACUCGAGGUUGCGCUGUGGGAGAGUGGAAGUCGGUGUCCGGGCGCGUGGCCUUGGCGCAGAAAGCCGGCAUGAGGAACUGGAAGCCGGGGCCGCAUAAAGGGGUUCCUUGGUCUGUUCCUUUCUCACAUCAUCUGCUGAGGAUCAGCAGCGCCUACAAACACCACUUUCCAGCCUGAUCUAUCAAACUCCAACAUGUGAAGCUGUAUCAGCUCAGGUUGCUGAAGUUUCGUGCAUGUGCCUGCAGACCUAUGGAUUUUCAGUUUUGAACCUUUGAUAUCAAAGUUACAUCGACCCUCUGAGUGUUUCAGUAUCCCUGGCUAUCUCCAUUCACAUACACACUUUUAUGUAUAAACUUCCUGGUAACUGCAACCACAACACAAACGUAUACAAGUAUUUAUGAACCAAAACUUCUUAAAUGUCAUUUUUUACUUACUUUACUGCCAGUGAGUUGACUGAGAUGUGGUUUUAGUUCAUCACCAAUUACUGCAUGAAUGGCUACAAGGCAGAAAACACAUGCCUUACGAACACUGCUCUCCGAAUUAUCAUAACCCUAGAAAGCAAUAAAAUUAACAUUAAUUGCUUAUCAGUUAAUGAUUAAAAGCCUCAGAGAACUAUUCAGUACUACUUAUAAUAAAUACAUUAAAAUCUACUUUAAGUGAAUGCUAAGCAUUCCAAGAAAAAAAACCCCACAAAAACAAGCGAAUACAGAACAUGCACAUUUGAAAGGCAGGCUGUUAUUAAUUACCAUUUAUAAUUAUUUUUCAGACUGAAAUUAAAACCCAUACAAUUCCUGUUCGUAAUCUAUACUGGAAACAGAGCUGCUGUCAUGCUCCACAUGGAAAUACAGUAGGGGAGAUCACAGGAUAAAGUCUUCUAGAUUACAGAUAUUUAUUAAACAGAAAACCAUUGCAUUCAGAGCUUUCUUACUCCUAAAGAAGCUGUUUCUUAACAGGUAAAACUCUGUCAUUAACUCCCAUCUUGUUACUGAAUGAUUUUUGUUUCUCAUGCCUGGUUGUCUCACAUCCCUUUCUCAGAAGGCUCUGCCUCUUACCUUCUUGCAGAUGUGUGAUUUGACCUUAUGCAUUAAAGUCAGAAAUCUGCAGAAUGAAGCCAUCAAAUUCUGGGAAGUCUUUAUUCAGCACAUGCAAGCUGAUGUGUUUUGACUCUUUAUAUAGUGGCAGAUUAUUCAUUUUUAAAGACAGAGAAAGAAACUUUUUAUAACCUCCUAGUUUUAUUGAACUUUCCCAAUCAACUGCUUCCUUCCUCUUGCUUCCCCCAAGCCCCAAGUGAUAAAACCCUGCAACGGUACAAACAUUCAACGUGGAUGACUUCAGACCAAAUGGUCACAACUUGGAAAAGAUACUACAUAUAACUGAAAGAGUCUAUUAAACUUAACUACAGCCAAUACUUCAUAUCCUAGCCAGAUCCUGAGUCCUAACCACAGUUACAGUUUAGCCAGGUGACAAUGAAAGACACUGUGCUCACUAUCUGAAUUAGUCUGGGUCAAAGUAGCCAUCAGCUGUAAGACCAAUAAAAAUCCCUCAUGAGAGCCAAGCAAGAGUAUUUUGAAAAAAUCUUUGUAAUUCUUCCAUACAAAGAAGGUGGGUUUUUUUUGCUUUGUUUUUACCUGUAUUAAACCUGGCACAAUCUCUGGUAAAAGCUGAGUAAGAGUUUCUUUAGAUACUCUCUCUAUGACUUUUGUCUGCAUUUUGAUUGCAGCCAGAUUAAUUGGGUAAUCUGCAGUCUGGAUAAUUGGACAAAGGACUUUGAUGCACUGAUCUGGGCUAAUGGAAGUGGCCAGCAUGGAAGCAGCUUCUUCAGCAGAUCUCACCACCUAUCGAAAGAAUGAAAAACACAUGGAAAAAUUAUUUAGAAGACAAUUAGUGCCAGUACAAGUCUUGAGCAUAAGAAUUUCUUAACAGCUCCACAGCAUUGUAAAAAUAGGCAAAGGAUUUUUAAAUGUGUGCAAUUUUGCAACUGUUGGACUACUUACUGUACUAAAAACAAGGCUCUUCCCAACACCGUAUGACUGAACUAUACGUUCUGCAAGAUGUGCACUGGUGUCUUCCAAACCUGCCUGAAAAUACCUUCCAAACUUGACAAUAGCUGUCAAAUCAGAUCUGAAAUCUCUCUAGUCUGCAAUGCUAUGCAGAAUAUAAAUACAAUAUUAUACAACUACAUAUUGAAAUCUCUCCACUAUUGAAAGCCGUAAUUUCCUGUGUUGUCAUUCAUUACUGUCUUUGACCACUAAUAAGCUCCCAUGUUCAUCUCAAAGACUGUUUAAUGACAAUCAUAGAUUGCUACUUCUGGAGGCUUCUCCCAUCUUUAAUUUAAAAAAAAAAAUUCAGUUAAGAGUUCUUAAGACUCUUAGGGAAGAUACAGGAAAACAGUUAGUCAAAAGGUGCAGAAGCUCAGGAUACAACACAGACAUAAGAGGGAAAAUUCAUCUCUUCAUAUUUCUGCAUCUGUGGUGUCUGGCAGCUAAAAGACAAGCUGCUAGAUUAUGUACAAAAAACUCAGAAGUCUUUCUCUUCAACCUUGUCUUGUUUACUCUUUCUCACAUGCAUUAAAAAAAAAAAAAAGGAGAAAUGGAACAGUAAUAUGGAGGGACAAAUGGAAAGAAAAAAAAAAUAAACAUGGUGCAUGAAAUUAAGAGGGCGAAGGGGAAACAAAGAUGAGUAUCAGAUGAGUGACAAACAUCACUGGUAUGGAAAAAACUGCAGUCAAAGUUCUGAAUUUGGAACUCCACCCCAAGUCCCAUAUACAGAAAAAAGUCCUAUCAUAGGGAGUGUGGGAGCAAGGAAAGCAGGGAGAGAUUUAUGCAUCUCAUUAGACAUCUUAUUUUCAUAACAUCAGUGACACUGAUGUGAAGUGUUUAAUGUUUGGGUGGUUUCUGUAUUUGUGUUUCUUAUAUCAAAAUACAUCAUCCUUUGAUGUGUAUGCACAUUAUCUUAAGCUUUCUGAGCAAGAUUACACUUAUCCUACUUCUGAAUCUCCUCACAGUUCCCAGCCACAACCAACUCUUCCCUGCAGUAUCUUCUCUCCUGGAAACGAAGCCAUGCUCUCGAAUGGUGAAGAAGAAAAGCUUAACCAGAGCUGGUUAAAAAUGGGAAGGGAUUGUAAUUUCCUUGCCAUGUUCAAUCCUAUCUCUCAACUACCAACCUUACAGAAAUCCAAAGGGUUGCAUUAGAUAACUGGGCUAAAAAAGACAUAUAACAAAAAACUCCCUUCAGUUAUUCUUCAUAGAACUGUGCUGGCACAUCCUUGGCUUUGGUUUUACGUCCUCUUGGGCAGCACCCAAGGCAACUGUUACUAGGGCUGAUAUUAAGCAUUUCAGAGCUUACAAAACUGUAGUUCUUUGUUUUUCUUUUUUUUUUGCAUGCCUGUGUUAACAUCUUCAUUAUUACACAAACGAUUCAUCGGUAAGAUCUGAUCUCUCAAACACUUUCUGGACAUUACACAGCUGCUGCAUUCUGUGAUAUUUUGUCACAGUCUCAAACAAAGAAAACUGCUUACUAACCUCCUUAUGAGGAUCCUUAUGCGCUUCUAAUGUCUUCAUUAUUGUGAGCUCUGCGUAAUUCUUAAACCUUGCUGGCUGAUUCCUUAGGAUUUCUCUUAGAACUUUCAAUGCCAAAGCUCUAAUUGCAUGCUAGAGAUUAAAUAUUAAAACAAAUGAGUUAUGUAACAUUGAAUAGGCAAAUGUUUAAGUGUUUAUUCAACAGUUUAUAAAGUUUUGACAUAGUAAAACAUCAGUGCCUUUCUAUGCAUAUAUACAAUAUGAAACUAAUAUGGAAAUAAAUACAGCUAAAAAAAGUCUUCAAUUGUUUGCUCUUUUUGAAAUAAUUCAGGUGGUGCAUCAUAACCAUGCUGCUAAUUGGAACUAUCUAUGCUGAGCUGCAUAUAGUUUUACUCUUUGGAGUAUUUUAGCAUCACACAGUCACACAAAUACAUUAUCCUUGAAAACAGAUAUUUUAUUAUUAUCAAAUCAAAAGCAAUUAUUAGUGCCAAGUAAACCUGAAGGAUACUUGAGAAGAUGGCCUUUCACCAUUAAGAGAUUCAAGAGUUCACAUGAUGUUCCUGCAUUUCCAUAACUUCUUGUUUUUCAAGACUAGCUGGAAUUUGUGCUUUUCCUACAACCCACACAACUUUAAAAGCCACUGAAAGCAAACCAUGUGCAUUUUUAACUAGAUUAAUCUAACUUUACCUCUUUGUCUCCAAGUGUUUCAAGCAGCAAAAGCAGUAUUGUUUUGAAGUGCUCAUCCCAAACACCAAAAGACUCUUCUUGAGUUAACUUCAUGAGCUCAUACAGGGCAGCCUUUCUUUCCUCAACUCUCUCGUUAUGGUUUGAUAACUCUUUUAGUAACUCUGCAACUAGAUCAGAAUGAUCCAUGGGAGGCUCUAUCAAAAAA